UUUUAUUGAGAGUUUGAUCCUGGCUCAGGAUGAACGCUGGCGGCGUGCUUAACACAUGCAAGUCGAACGGAGUGCUCAUGACAGAGGAUUCG
rnacentral:rRNA from 1 species